GCCAGGUGUGGUGGUGUGUGCCUGUAGUCCCAGCUACUUGGGAGGCUGAGGUGGGAGGAUUGCUUGAGCCCAGGAGUUUGAGGCUGCAGUGAGCUAUGAUCGUGCCACUGCACUCCAACCUGGGUGACAGAGUGAGACCUUGUCUCAA
rnacentral:SRP_RNA from 2 species